AGUUACAAGUUUCUGGAGGGCAGCUGGUAUUAACUGAUCACCAGGAAGAGAGCUCAGACAGGCAGGGGCAUGUGGCACUCACUGGCCCUGCUCCUUCUCAUCCUCUCAGCAACUCCAAGAAAAUCAUCCGAACCUACGACAACAGACGCAGCUGCACCUGGGACAGCAGACACGGCUUCACCUGGGACAGAAGACACAGCUGGAUCUGGGACAAUGGACACAGCUUUACCUAGAAAAGCAGAAACAGCUGUGCCUGGGAAAAGGAACACAGCUGUGCCUGGAACAGCAGACACAGCUUCACCUGGGACAGCAGACACAGCAGAACCUCUGAGAACAACCACUCCAACAGUUCUGGCCUCCUGGCCUUCUCUCACCCAGAGCACCAACAGCACCCAGCCCACAGCUCUUACCAGCCCCCUCACCAGGUGAGCAGAGCUGGGCUCCCACAGACCUUUCCCUAGGCUACCCCAUGACCACUCCUUCAGGGGCUCUCACCAGAGACCCUCAUAUGGCGCUGGUCAGGGGAGAAACAGUGAAGUCUGUAGCGGGCCUUCCCCUCCCCGUCUACACCUGAGCACUGCAGGAGAUUCUCCUCAAGGAGCUGCAACAGGCUGAGCUCCAGAGAGCAGGCUCUGGGCUCCAUGCUCCGCCAAGUCCCUCAAGCCCCAGGAGGCAAAAGCGAGUUGAAGCUUUGGGUGUUCUGUAAGGGCGGCUCUCUGUGUGGUUUUCCUGUGGCUGCUGUAACUGAUCAUUACAAACUUGGUGGCUUAAAGCAACACAAUCUCAUGAUCAUACAGCUGUGGAAACCAGAGAUCUGAAUGGGUCUCACCGGGCUGAAAUCAAGGUGUUAAGAGGGCUCAUUCCUUCUAGAGGCUCCAGGGGAGGACCUGUUCCCUUGCCUUUUCCAGCUUCUAGAGGCCACCCGCAUUCCUUGGCUCAUGGCCCCUUCCUAUUGAAAGCCAACAAAGGUCAGUGGAGCCUCCCACAGUGCAUGGCUCCACUGACUCUCCUGCCUCCUUCUUUCAUUUGUAAGGAUGCUGGUGAUUCCACUGGGCUCAGCCAGACGAUCCAGGAUAAUCCACCCUGGGUCAGCUGACGAGCAGUCUCAAAUCUACCCACUGCCUUAACUCCCCCUUGCAUGUAAUCAAAUAUAUUAACAGGCUCUGGGGUUAGGACAUCGUUGGUGGGGUUCACUAUUCUGCCUACCGCAGUCACAGGCAGGGAUGUGCCCAUCGCUGCAACUCCCCAGCCAAGGCUAGGGAAGGGCAGGGCGGGAGAGCAGGAAGCUGGGCCCUCUUGCUUUUCUUUCCCAUUCCCAGCAUGGUGGAGGGAUAUGGACAUCAACCCAAAGUCCACCUCCCUUCAAGGAAUCCAAUAGGAUGUCUCAUCACAGCGCAAACGCAGCUGCCCCUGUUUAACCCAUCACAGCCUGGUGCUUCAAGAUCUCUCAAAGUCCAGGGUCAAGGCCCAUUCUCUCCCUAGAUCCUGCAUUCCCUGCUCCACUGGCUCCCUUUCCUUCUCCAGCCCAACUCCCUUCCUUUCAAAGGGUCUGGUUCCCUGGAGCCUGCCAGCACCGAGCCUGUGUUCCCUAGGAGUCCAGAAGAGGCGAGGCACUGGGGAUGCUUCCUGACCUGGCUUUCGUCCCGCUCCACUGUUUGCAGAGCGGUUAUUCUGCUGAGCGGAGAUGGCAGUGCCAGGACUUCUAGCGAGACGGGAGAGGCAUAAGGGGAAACUUGGCGGGGAGAGACCAAGGAUGCAGUGGAACUUGCAAGACCACAGGGAGUGAACUUACAAGAAGAGCACAGUGGUUUAAAGGGUAUUUUUAGGAUGUGCAAUAUGGCAGGCCUGCUCUCGCUCAAGAAAACCCUGAGCGAAAUUCACAUGACUCAUCACUGCUUCCUUGCCUGGGCUGGCUGGAGGCCAGCUUCAGGGAGAGAACAGGGGUGGCCUGCGGGAAGGGGCCCUGGCACCGGGUGUUGAGGAGUGGAUGAGGAAUAAGAUUGGGAAAUCAGACUCUUAAACACUGAUGGGGACUCCCCAGAACCCACUGAUUUAGCUAGACCAAGUAUGAAACAUGUGGGCAAUAUGAGGCAGCAGGUCUCAGAUCCACGGUCAUAAAGUGGGUCCCCGAGCAGGAAGAAAUCCCUCACUUGAGAACCAAGUAGAUAAAUAGCCAGGUUGAUGGAAGUGGGGGAACAUCUUCCUCUGCUUCAAAGAGGUAAUAAUAACUAGAUUUGAGCUUGAAAGAUGGGCAGAAGUGACAAAGGGAAACACAAGGCAGAGAGAGGAGCAGAAGCAGGAAGACAGGACACAGCAGACCCUCGAGCUUGGCGGGACACAGGAUCCUGCAACAUCCACUUUCUGCUCCUGAUCUCCCUGAAGGGGCUGCUGCUCGUGGACCUGCUCUGCACUGUGCUGCGAUUGAGCAAUGCUACGGGGGCCUCCGGGGGGAAACAAAGUCACAGCCUGAGCCGGGGAACCGCAGCUCCCACACCAUUGACACCUUUGGAGGAAACAAGUAGAACCUCUGGCCUCCUAUCGGCUUUCUGAAGAUGAGAAGUCCAAGAGUAUGGUAGUGGCAUCUGACAAAGGUCAUACCAUGGCAGAAGACAAGACAGCAGGCAAGCCUGCUAGACAGAGAGAAAAAGGGGGCUGAACUCACCCUAUGAGGAAACCACUCUCACAAUAACUAACCCACUCCAGAGAUAACAGCAUUAAUCCACUCAUGAGGACUGAGCUCUCAAGACCUAAUCACCUCUUAAAGACUUCACAUCCCAAUACCAUUACACUGAAGUAAAGUUUCAACAUAAGUUUCCGAGGGAACAUUCAAACCACAGCAACCCUUGUGCCAUUUAUUCAGCAGAGACAACAGUUGGAGGCUUCAGUUCUCUCCACAAAGAGGAUCAAACAAAUCUUCAGCUUUCUUGGUUCUGCUUUUAUAAUGUUUUCUUCUGGUUCCUUUAAAAAAAAUCUUAUCUCUAGAGUUGUUUAUAAAAUAAAAGAAAUGGGAAU